rnacentral:rRNA from 1 species
UGGGGAAUUUUGGACAAUGGGCGCAAGCCUGAUCCAGCCAUGCCGCGUGCGGGAAGAAGGCCUUCGGGUUGUAAACCGCUUUGUCAGGGAAGAAAUCUUCUGAGUUAAUACCUCGGGAGGAUGACGGUACCUGAAGAAUAAGCACCGGCUAACUACGUGCCAGCAGCCGCGGUAAUACGUAGGGUGCAAGCGUUAAUCGGAAUUACUGGGCGUAAAGCGUGCGCAGGCGGUUUUGUAAGACAGAGGUGAAAUCCCGGGCUCAACCUGGGAACUGCCUUUGUGACUGCAAGGCUUGAGUGCGGCAGAGGGGGAUGGAAUUCCGCGUGUAGCAGUGAAAUGCGUAGAUAUGCGGAGGAACACCGAUGGCGAAGGCAAUCCCCUGGGCCUGCACUGACGCU